rnacentral:SRP_RNA from 1 species
GCCGGGUGUGGUGGUGCGCACCUGUAGUCCCAGCUACUUGGGAGGCUGAGGCAGGAGAAUUGCUGGAACCUGGGAGGCUGAGAUUGCAGUGAGCCAAGAUUGGGCCACUGCACUCCAGCCUGGGUGACAGUGCAAGACUCCGUCUCAA